rnacentral:rRNA from 1 species
GGUUAAGUGAAUAAGGGCGCACGGUGGAUGCCUUGGCACUAGGAGCCGAUGAAGGACGGGACUAACACCGAUAUGCUUUGGGGAGCUGUACGUAAGCUAUGAUCCAGAGAUUUCCGAAUGGGGGAACCCAACAUCUUUAAUAGGAUGUUACGAUUGUGUGAAUACAUAGCACAUUCGAGGUAGACGCAGAGAACUGAAACAUCUAAGUACCUGCAGGAAGAGAAAGAAAAUUCGAUUCCCUGAGUAGCGGCGAGCGAAACGGGAAAAGCCCAAACCAGCAAGCUUGCUUGUUGGGGUUGUAGGACUCCAAUAUGGUAGUUCUUUCAGAUAGUCGAAUGACUUGGAAAAGUCAGUCAAAGAGGGUAAAAACCCCGUAGACGAAAUGUGGAAGACACCUAGGAGGAUCCUGAGUACGGCGGAACACGAGAAAUUCCGUCGGAAUCCGGGAGGACCAUCUCCCAAGGCUAAAUACUCCCUAGUGACCGAUAGUGAACCAGUACCGUGAGGGAAAGGUGAAAAGCACCCCGGAAGGGGAGUGAAAUAGAACCUGAAACCGUGUGCCUACAACAAGUCAAAGCCCGUUAAUGGGUGAUGGCGUGCCUUUUGUAGAAUGAACCGGCGAGUUACGAUUGCAUGCGAGGUUAAGUUGAAGAGACGGAGCCGCAGCGAAAGCGAGUCUGAAUAGGGCGUUUGAGUAUGUAGUCGUAGACCCGAAACCAUGUGAUCUACCCAUGUCCAGGUUGAAGGUGCGGUAAAACGCACUGGAGGACCGAACCCACGUACGUUGAAAAGUGCGGGGAUGAGGUGUGGGUAGCGGAGAAAUUCCAAACGAACUUGGAGAUAGCUGGUUCUCUCCGAAAUAGCUUUAGGGCUAGCCUCGGAAUUGAGAAUGAUGGAGGUAGAGCACUGUUUGGACUAGGGGCCCAUCUCGGGUUACCG